rnacentral:rRNA from 1 species
CCUACGGGAGGCAGCAGUGGGGAAUUUUGGACAAUGGGCGCAAGCCUGAUCCAGCCAUGCCGCGUGCGGGAAGAAGGCCUUCGGGUUGUAAACCGCUUUUGUCAGGGAAGAAAUCCUUUGGGCUAAUACUCCGGGGGGAUGACGGUACCUGAAGAAUAAGCACCGGCUAACUACGUGCCAGCAGCCGCGGUAAU